rnacentral:lncRNA from 1 species
GUUCACCCUGCAUGAUCAUUCAUGGAAAUGGGAAAAAAAAAAACACACAAAUUAGACGACGUGCGUGCGUACUUGUUGAUCGAGUCAGUACAUGCAUGCAAAAGUAGUAAAAUAUACUGUUACGUACUAUACUGAAUAAAAAAGCCAAUUCAUUCAGAUGAUCGAUGACUUGGCUUAGAUCUUACGGUAGGGUCGGUCGUACUCGUACGUACCUGGAGCAGUCGAUGGAGGCGCUGAUGGUGUAGGGGAUGUUGACGCCGCACUUGGAGGGGAUGCUGGCGGCGUUGCCGGCGUUGAGGCCGCUGACACGUCCGGCGGCGCUCUUGAGGCAGUUGCAGGCGGUGCGCUUGUCGGCGGUGCUGCUGGCGGCGGAGUUGAGGCUCCUGACGCCGCUGCAGCAGGCCGCGGAGGGUGCGGUGCCGGUGCCGCGGGCGUAGGCGAGGCAGGGGCUAAUCGCGGAGUUCACCUGCCCGCAGGUGACGGCGGCCUCCGACGUCGUCGUCGCCGCUGCCAGCAGCACCGCGGCCACGACGACGGCGAUCAUCGCCACAGCAAACUGCAUGCUGCGUGCCAUGUCGAUCGAUCGAGCUAUUCGUGUGUGCUGAGUGAUCUGAGUGCCUGACUGUGUGCUAGUAUGCUAGCUUUGGAAUGCAGUGAGAGCAAGUGCUAGCUGGUGAGGAGAAUAUGCAGUGAAAUGUUGGUCCUUAAAUAGGCUUGAGAUCGAUCUGAGAGCUACAAUGGCUGAUGACAGAUGUCAUGCAUGGUGUGUGCAUGCUGUUUCUUUCGGUAGAACAUCAUCAUCGUACAGUUAAGAGCCGGGCAGGAGGAGGUGGUUGGGUGUUGGGGGCAGGAGGCAGAUGGAGGAUGUGGAUGGAAAUACACAUAUGCAGUGGUUAGUGGAUGCAGAGUGAAUUCAUCAUCAGCAGCAGCAGCAGCAGCAAACUUAAUAAAUAGCAGCCGCCUAACACGACUUAAUAAUAAAUUAAACAGUUAAGCGUCAUUUAAUCUCAUCACCCGCCUCACUGAUUAAUCGAAUGAGGCCUUGUUUAGUUCACCCCAAAAUCCAAAAAUUUUUCAAGAUUCACUGUCACAUCGAAUCUUGGGGCACAUGCAUGGAGCACUAAAUAUAAACAAAAAUAAAAACUAAUUGCACAGUUUAUCUGUAAAUCACGAGAUGAAUCUUUUAAGCCUAGUUACUCUAUAAUUGGACAAUGUUUGUCAAAUAAAAACGAAAAUGCUACAGUUCCAAAAACCAAAAUGUUUUCGGAACUAAACAAUAUAUAGCCUCCCACAGGCUCACAAAAUCUGAGAACUCACCUAUAUGUGGCCAAUUCAUCUAACAUAGCCUUUUGGACCGUGUAUUUUUUCCUUCGAGUCUUUUGAUGUAACAGCGGUUCAAUUGCCUUGACCGAUGUUCCAUUGAUCCAAUUCGAUGUCACGAAAGAGGCUAUAUUUUUUACAUUGCCUGUGGUGACUAUAUAUAGUUAAUGAAUUGAAGAGCUUGUGAUCAGAUUUGUCACAAGGAAUCUCCGUAUUGCUCCACGCUCUUUCCUUUUGUUUCUACUUAAACCAUAGCCGUCAUCUCAAUUGGACAAUCCCUUCGCCUUGGGAAGGGCGUGGUGGUGGACUAGUUGAUCAACGAAUGUCCUCCAAUGAUGUUCUCAAGUGGUAUUUCUCCUCGCCAAAGAAAAUUACGCCACAUCCUGUCUAUUCUUUUGAGCCUGGAACACUAUCAAAUGGUAUAUUAUUGGCAGCGUCAUUAGAAUCAUUUCUGUACUGGUGUUUCUCUAUUAGAUGUUGGCAGGAAUUUUCCUUUCCACCCCGGGAGCCUGGCACCAAAAUCUUUUCUAUCAGUGGCUAGACCUCCCUCCUUUCUUAAUUUCCGGGUAUAUGUAAUUGAAGCCCUAAAUAUUUUCCCUGGGAAGUUGUGGAUGAGCGAAGGGACCAUGUUAGGUUGGAGCCAUAUUGGAAAAAAAAAAUAGUCUUGGACAUGUUAAUUUUUAGCCCUGAACAAUUUCCAAAGAAAUGUAGGAAUUUUGUAAGCUGCUCAACUGCUCUGAAGAUGGGUUUGCAAACAAACCCACAUUUUAUUUGUGUAGAGAGAGCACCACAAGUUUGCUGCUUCCGGUACAACCAGUUGUAGGAUAUCCUGUUGUGCCGCUCAUAUUCAAUGAUUUGUUGGUAGCGGGUCUACUGCUAACAUGCAUGAAAAGUAGGGGCCGGGAAAGCGGAUUGCUUUGCCUCAAUCCUCUUGCAUGUUUGAUGUUUUGACUCGAUCAUCUAUUUAUGAGAAUUUUGGAUGAGAAGGACCCUAAGUUUCUUUGAUAUCCAAUUAGGUCAUUUUGUGCUAAAACCAAGCGCAGUUAGAAAUUCCAGAAGGUGUGCCAUUCUAUGGAGUCGAAAGCUUUGGAGAUGUCCAGUUUUAUAAAUAGAUCGAGUGAGCUGAUUUUUUUCUGUAGAAGUUGAAUACUCUUUGUACAUAAAGAAAAUUGCCCCUUUUAUUGAUGAAUGCAUUUUGAGCAUGUGAAACCAACUCAUUCAUAUAUGGAGCUAGUCUAUUUGCAAAGAUUUUCGUAAUGAUUUUUAUGAGGCUGUUAAUUAGGCUAAUCAGUCUCUAUACUCAAACAUUGUUUGUGCUUCCUACUUCUUAGGGAGUAGAACUAUACUUGCUUCAUUAAACAACUGCAUUUUUGCAGUCCUAUGGUUGUCGUUCUUGAUUAUAUCCCAACUCUUCUUAUAGAAGAUCCCGAUAAGACCAACUAGUCCUGGGGCUUUCUACGACGGAAGCUCCUUGAUUAUGGUAAGUAGCUCCUGCUCUGUAAAUGGCAUGUCUAGUUCAUCAAGGUUAUGUGGAGAGUAACCCAACGUCUCCCAAUUGAUUGACUAUAUGUUCUUGUAGCUCUUGUUCCCUGGCUUUGGCGAAGAACUCAACAGGGGACCUCUGUUCCCACGUUGGGAAAUUGCGACCCUCUCCUCAAUGUGAAUUGUGCUUAUAUAUUUUUCCUUCGUCUAGCGUUUGCAUGUAGUUGGGAAAAAUGAGUAUUAGUAUCAUCAUUCCAUAUUUAGCUAGGUCAGUCAAAAGUGUUGUCUCGCCUUUGCUUUCUGUAUUGCGAUUAGACCCAUUGAUUUUGCCUUAAGAUAUUUCUUGAAUUCCACUUCUUCUAUUGUCAGGGGACGUCUUUUCUGUGCCUUCUCUAGCUCUCUAUAGGAUGAUGUGAAGGACGUCAUUCCCUAGUUUCCAUUCAGUAAACAGUGUAUGCUUCCAUACUUUUAACGCUCUUGCCAUGCGGAGGAGCUUGGUGUUUACUGUCUGUUCCCAUGUUGAACCAUCUAUAUAAACCCCAGCAUAUUUACCCAAUAGUAAAAAUGGAAACCAUGGCAAAAUUCAAAAGUAAUAUCCUCUACAAGAGCAAAAGACCAUGGUCCCAUUAUUUUGCUAUGUGAGCCCACUCCUCUUAUUUUUCACCUUUAUUUUGAUUAUGCUACUCAAGUGUUGUAUCUGACUUUUAUUUUUUGACUUGGCUUACUCCUCUUAAGAUGUCAUUUGUUCCAAAUCCUUAAUGUUGGAAGUGGUUAGAAUUCCUCUAGUAGCGGAGGUCAGUCGAGCCUACUCGCUCGCUGCAGCGAGAGGCUUGAGUGUGCUAACAAUCAAGGAAGAGAGAGCUCGAAACCCUAGAACAGUAGUGUUUCAGUAAAUUGGUUUCAACUAACUCUUGAAAGAGCAUUUAUAACCCCUUUAUAUAGGGUGCGGAUCCCAACCGAGAUCCGUUACAGCAAUGCCCCAUGACGGUGGCGGGAUAUUCCAGCAUAUUUCGCCACUACAAUCUAUAACCCACAGGGCUACUUGAGUAAUUUCGAACUGCAAGCUCUUUGCAGGCUGUCGCGUCGGAGUCCUGGUCCUAUCGUAGCUCGAUCCUUCUCCUAUCCUUCGUCGAGGCUCAUAGAUCCUCCGCCUUGCGGCCGACGAGGGAUCUUUGUCCGCCACUCAGAGGUUCUUCGGCUUGGUCGGGGUCAGCACGUCCUUCAUCACGCAAGGGCUGAAGGAUGGGCCCUUACCCCCUGUGAUUCUCCGCUCCAGGUUGGUUCCUGCACACAUGUCUCACCAAACCGAUCUGCAUCAGCAUUAAAUUUUUCCGAACCUUCGUCCCUUAUCGUCCGAAGGUUGGGGGCAUGAAGGUUCGGUCAUCGCGAUCGAGUUACAUCUUUUCUCUCCGAUGCAGCUAGGGGGUGAAGGCGUGGUUGAGUUCUCAAUACUUAAAUAUAUAAUUUGUCCAUACACAAAUUUCAAGUCGUUUUGGACAUGAUUUAGGAUGCCAAGAAGUGAUUAAUCAGAUGUAUUUUUUCUUAUCAGCACCUAUUAUUAAAUAGAGUUCGGGUUUCUCCAUAGAUCAACCACUCGUCGCUAUACUGGCAAGCAGUGUGAAGCCCAAGGUGUUAGGUCUUAGGUUUAAUCCCUUGCUUUCAGUUCUUUUUUAAUUGGUGGUCGUUUUUUUCCAUAGCCUGCAUGGCUAAGCGAUACAAUUGGCUCUUCGACGUUCGAGUGUGUGUGAAGUGAGAGGAGCCAUGAUUUACUUAUGAAUGCACAUGGCGUGAGAGGAGGCACGAGUUACUUUCCUCUUCAAGACUGAGACUGAGCGACUGGACACGGGAGACGAAGGACCGGGGGGUGAUUAACUUUGUUCAAAAUGUUGUUAAAGAUGCAAAAAGACUUCAAUUGUGAACACCCCACUCACCAUCCAAAACUACUUUAAUUUGAAAUAUGAAGGGAGUCUUCACAAAGUUGUGAAUAUAAGUUAUGUUCCGUAAAAUAUUAUGAUAAAAGUUGUGUGUGUAACUUGGUACGUUUGAUUGAGUGCAGCGUGAUCUAUUUUUCUCUUCGAGAGUGGUUGACUCGACAUGGGAGACGAAGGACAACCAGGGUGGAUUCAUGCAAAAUGACUUCAAUUGUGAACACCCCAAUCACCCUCCAAAACAACUUCAGUUUUGAGUACGGAGGGAGUAUCAUUAUUCCUGUUAUGUAAGCCCACUUUUAGGUCCAGAUUAAUUAGCUUUACUGCAUAUAUGUAAAUAUGUCAAAUAUAUACUUUUUGAAAUAAACUAUAUUCAAAACAAAUCUACCCACAUCAUCACUUCCAUACAUUCAAACUAAACAUGUAAACAUCAUUCAAUAGUCAAGAGGUUUCGAGAUGAUUGACGUAAGACAACCUGAAAAUGUCGAUUUAAUAAAAAAAUCAAAGCAUUUGUCGUCAAAGUAAUUUUUGAAAUGAUUGACCCACAUCAUCACUUUAAUACAUUCAAACUAAACAUGUAGUGUUAAUAAUUAUACAUCUUCUGCUACCUACCAAUAAGCCCCUCACGCAGCACACGGCUCCGUUUUCUAGUUUUUGUCUUGUAUUCGUUCAUCAGAUGAAUUCUGUAUUUGAAGAGCAGUGCGUGUCGCCACCUCAUGAAAAAAGCGUGCCAGCUAGGUACUUGUUUUAAUUUCCACCGUGUGAGUAUUUUUUUUGAAGUGGUGAGUUAAUUAAAUGAAACCAUUUAAUUUUUCGAAUCACAAAGUCUGCAACCCAGUUUUGCAACCAUAUAGCGAAUGAAGCAUAAUCGAAAAGUCAUGGAACACAGUCACAUCACAUGCAUGGCCCACAUGCAUGCAUAACGACAAUUUGUAAACAAAAAGAUGUGAGUGCAUCAUAAGGUAGCAGUGAUCGAACAAAAUACGUGUCCUCCAAAACCGUACGGAGAACGGAUCGGAGGAAGUAUGUUUUUGACGAUGGUAAAGUUUAUUUUGCGUAUAUGCUUUCACUUUUUCAUCCAUUAGAAGUGUGCAAACACACAUCUCAAUGUGUGAAACUGCUUUAAGAUAUGUGUUUACACACUUCUCAAAGCGAGUCCAAUAGAUGGGAGAGUGAGAGUAUAUGCCCUCAAGGACAAAAAAAAACAAAAAAAACUUUUGACGAUAAGAUGUAGUGCCCGUUUUUCAUUAAGUGGAAAUGAUCGUAGAAAGUACACGGAAACAACAAGCCAAAGGACAUCUCUCUCACACACACGUACGACACGGACGUACAUACGGAGAGAUUUUUUAUUCAGUAUACGACGUAGCAGUAUAUAUAGUAGACAACUCAUCAUCACCCGUAGAUAGAUAGAGACUCAAGCAUGGUCGUCGUCGAUGCUCCGGCGCCGACGACGGCGGCGGAAUGGAUCAUCGAUCGACGAUCAUCAGGUCGUCGUUUCGGUUUAGCUCACCCUGGAGCAGUCGGUGGAGGUGCUGAUGGUGUAGGGGAUGCUGACGCCGCACUUGGAGGGGAUGCUGGCGGCCUUGCCGACGUUGAGGCCGCGGAUGCCACGGGCGGCGUUCUUGAGGCAGUUGCAGGCGGCGCGCCUGUCGGCGGUGGUGCGGGCGGCGGAGUUGAGGCUCCUGACGCCGCUGCAGCAGCCUGCGGAGGGUCCAGAGCCCUGGCCGCGGGCGUAGGACAGGCAGGGCCCGAUGGCGGAGCUCACCUGACCGCAUGUCACGGCGGCCUCCGAGGUCGUCGCCGCCAGCACCACCGCCGCCACGACGGCGAUCGCCACAGCAAGCUUCAUGCUGCGAGCCAUGUCGAUCUCGAUCGACCUCCUGUGAUAUAUGUGCUGAUGCUCGUAGGUGACUGAUAGCUUUUGGGAUGCAGUGAGUGAGCAAGUGCUAGCUGGUGAGGAGAUUGCAAUGGAAUGUUGCUCCUUAAAUAGGCAGGCUUUGUGAUCGAUGUGUGAGCUAGCUAGCGAUUGCUGAUGAGUGAUGUGCAUGCAUGGGAUGGGUGUGCAUGCUGUUUCAGUCGGUGGAUGCAUGCAUAUGCGUAUAUGUCCAUGGAUCGAUGGUAUCUCUCGCCAUGCAUCGAAGUUAACUGCUGGGGAGGAGGUGGUUGGGUGUUGAGGGAGGAGGGCAGAUGCUUGUUUAGUUGUUGUAAUACCCGAUUUUAAGGACAAAACCAGAUAUGCACCAUAUGUGAGUUUUAAAAGCCAAAUCUCACAUAUAGCUACAAAUAAGGGGUAAUAUCAAAAGACAAUGCAAAAAUUAUAUAACGUACAUAAUAUAAAAGAGAUAACCUUUGAUAGCAAACAACGGAUAGACAACUCCAAACUCCGGGUAUUAACUUCUCUCUACAGGAUCCAACUGACUGGUUGAUCACAAGCCUAAACUUCUCCUGAGGUUUGGGGGAAAUAGCAAGAGUGAGUCCAUGUCAAACUCCACAAGUAUAGCAACUAGAUUGUAUAGCUCCCACAAUCUCAUGAUCAAUGUGACAUAAAUAAUGUAAAGCAUUAAACAAUAAGCAAUGAGCAUAUUUAACACACAAGAUUCAUCACCCUUAAUGUAGAUGUCCCCAAGGCCGUUCCUGACCGUGAGCUCGGCUAGUAUACUAGUUUUAACACUCUGCAGAGGUUGCACAUCUUUACCCAUGAGUCAUGAUUUACCCUUUCGCCCGAGGUGAUCAGCCUCUUAACCCACUUCCAAGGAAGGUCGGCAGGGAUCACUAUGAAGCCUUUCAAAAGUUCGUCUAACAUGUUAGGGCCGCAAGGUUUCCUUUGCGAGCAGAUAUAGAUACCCCCCUUCCGAAUGGCACAAUGACGCGCAGCCUAUACACAUAGGGACAGGGGCUCGCACUAUACCCGUGUCGGUUCAGCCCCUCCGCCCUUUCGGGUAACCUCUAACAAGCUAGAAAAGGUCUUCAUACUGAGCUAAAGCCAGAGCCAUUAUAGCCCUCAUGGUUGCACUGUUAUCCCGGGUGAUCACGUACAGACAAAUCAUCAAGUUGUUAAAAAGUCAUUUUUACCAUUUAUUACUUAACAUUAAUCUAGUCACAGGAUCAUGGUCACAGAAAUAAAAUCCAAAUGCUAUACUUGCCUCAAUCCAAUUGCUCUUGCUUAUCCUUUUGGUCCUGCUGGUCUCACUUGUUGCCAAAGCUUUGAUCUUGAUCACCGAAACUGCUCUCCGUCUAAACUCGAUCAUCGAUCAUCAACACACAAACAAUCGGACACAACAUACACGUAGCAAACAAGGCUAUAAUUAGAACAGUACACCAAUCAUAUAAAAACAAUAUGAAAAAUUUGUAAAAUAAUUCUACGCAUCGCUACGAUCUCACAGACGUAAAGAUGACGAAAAUCGGAGUUAAAACGGAAAAGAUAUGGAUUUUCUAAGAUUUUAUAUAGAAAAGUAAUUAAUUAAUUAAGGUCACGAAAUUAAAAGGUUUCAAACUGAGUGAACAAUAUUACUAACAUGUAGUGCUCGUGAUUACGAACCUAACACAAUUUCAAUGGACAAAACGGAGUUAAAACAGAGAUGAUAUGGCCUAAAUAAACUAGCGUAUUUUCUUUGUAUUUUUAGGUUUGUUUUUCUAAAGGAAAACGGCAAUAAAACAUGUCUAUGUUAUAACGACGUCAUCAAGCUAGCCAGCAACGUUUAUUCGCAGAUAUAUGUUAGACAUGUACAUCCCUAGAUCGAUUGCUGCGCAGAUAGAAACAUCGCCGGGCGAAACAAAUCAGUGCAUGCACUUGUAGAGGCUUUGUGAAAUUUCUCACACAGGAAUCGACAUAUUAAAGAUGCAAAGUUACCUCUUAUGGUGAUUAUAAGAUUCAAUAGGACAUGCUUGCCGAACGAUGGGUCAGUGGCCACGUCGUCAAGAACAGGUUGAUCUACGGCAACACCUUCUACUCCCGUGCUCUGUUGCUUGCUACUCUUCACGUGGCCAGCGAUUUGGUCUUCUGCUUCUUUGGUCCACAAUCACGAUGGUUCACCGGAACAUGGCAAGCAGCUCUGGCAAGCAGGACGUGGCAAGAGCAGAGCGGCGGCCGUAACAUGGCAAGGGCAGCAUCUAUCUAGGCAUGGCCGACGGCGGCGGCUCUCAAGGGUUUUAAGGACGUAAACACUCUAGACGAAUAUGACGUGUAUAUAUACGUGCGGUCUAGAUCAAGUUUGAUUAGGGUUAGAACUUAUUAUUUUUGGAAUUAAUUAUUUUCAUGGAUAAAAUAAUUAUAGAAAAGUCCAGAAUUAUUAUUUAAACUAUGAAAAAUAUUCUAAAAGCUCUGAAAAUUCGGAGAAAAUUCUCAGAGACAUUAUGGAAUAUGAGGAACUCAAAUAACGUAUUUGGACCUCAUGAUAAGAUAAUUUGGAGCAUCUAAAAAUUAGAUUUAUGCUCAUAGAAAAGUGAGAAUAGAAGAUGGAAAAAUUCCCGAAAAGUUUGUAGAGAUUGCUUGAUGGACGAGGAACUAAAAGAAGUGCUUUGAGUGACAAAGAAAAGAUUUUAGGAAGCUCCUAAUAAAAAAUUGAGCUGAGAAACCAAAGAAUUUGGUUAUAGAUAAAGAUAAAGACGUACUGGUCAAGGAAGAUCUACUAAACGCAUUUUAAAACUUUGCUCACUCAACACAUAAAGGAGCAACAAGUCAACAUCACAUCAAAACAUAUGCACCAGCAUGUAUGCACAACAAUAUUGCUAAGGCUUAUGAUAAAUUUUAAUUUAAUGAAAAUUAUUAUUUUCCUUAUAUUUUCGUGAGCACAAAAUACAAAACUGAAUAAAUUUUCAUCUAUUUUGAAAAGAGCAAAAUUUAGGGUGUUACAGUUGUCAAAAUUUUUUAAAAUUCUCAAUCAAAUUAAAUCUUGGGACACAAUGUAUCAAAUAUUAAAUAUAGAUAAAAAUUAAUUAAUUAUAUAGUUUGUAUAUAAUUUGCGAGAUAAAUUUUGUAAACCUAGUUAAUCUAUAAUUAAACAAAAAUUAUUAAAUAUAAACGGUGCUAUAGUAACUAGAUCCAAAAAUUUUCACCAACUAAGGGCUUGUACAACGAUGGGCGCUUAUGAUCAGGUAUUGGCCGUUAAAUAGUUUUUUUGCCACACGGUGGAGUCCUGAGCGGGCGCUUAAAAAUAGAUUUGCCGCUCCGUAAAGCAUCGACGCCUAGACCGGCUCCUUGCUUGAUACUGGUGUUUGCAUGCGACGUAACGGUCACAACUUAAGCGCCUUCAAAUACGUGUUGUGUUGUAGAUUAAGGUUAUAAAGAGACGCUUAGUUACAAAAGUAUUUUCUCUUUCCAUCUAAGCGCCUUUUGCAUUGUACGUGCUCUAAACAAGGCCACAGAUACAGACAUACAGUGGUUAGCUGAGGCAGAGUGAAAUCAUUAGCAGCAAACAUAUAAUAAAUAGCAGCCGCCUAGCACGACUUAGCGCCACUUAAGUUUUGUUUAGUUACGCUCGAAAUCCAAAAACUUUUCAAGGUUCUCUUCACGUCGAAUUUAGAGACACAUACAUGUAGCACGACUUAGCGCCACUUAAGUUUUGUUUAGUUACACUCGAAAUCCAAAAACUUUUCAAAGUUCCCUUCACGUCGAAUUUAGAGACACAUACAUGAAGCAUUAAAUAUAAAUAAAAAAAUAACUAAUUACAUAAUUUAUCUGUAAUUUGAGAGACGAAGCUUUUGAGUCUAGUUAGUCUAUAGUUGAACAAUAAUUAUCAAAUAUAAAAAAAAAUGUUAUAGUACCAAAAAAAUCUUUUCACUCACGAACUAAAUAAAGGCCCUAAUCUCAUCAUCCGCCUCACUGUUUAAUCGAAUGUCCUUGAUGGCCACCCACAGGCUCACAAAACCUGAGACGGUGAGACCUUGCCUGGGGUAGUAUAUGGGGCCAAUGGCCAAUCCAUUUAUCAGUUUGCCCAAGGCAGGUGGUGGGCCACUCUGUUCAAUUUUGAGUCUAAUAUAUGCAAUAUCUUCUCUUUUGUGCAAUUUUUGUCCGUGGGUUCAAACAAUCCUGCCACCGUGUCACCGGUGGCUGAUCGUGUCAACCCUUCGCCGCAGUCCGCUCCACCACAGUACGGGGGGCCCAGUUGCAGUCUCUGCCACCGCAGUAGGGAUGUUGAACUUGUAAUAAUAAAUAUGUGAGUGCUUUUAAUAUAUAAUGCAUGUUGGUGAUAUAGAUGUGAUAAUUGGCGUGUGUGUAUAUAUAUUGUCUGUUACAAUGGAAUGUAAAAAAUAAAACAAAUACAAUUCUCGGGGUCUUCGCCGAGUGCGGUGCCAGGGUCACUUGGCAAAGCAAUUUAAAAAAACAAUUUUGCCGAGUGUCGGGGCCACGACCACUCGGCAAAGAAUUUUUCUUUAAAAAAGAAAAGACACUUUGCCGAGUGCUGAUGCUAGGGGCACUAGGCAAAGUAUUUUUAAAAAAAACAAAUAUGCGGAGUGCCGCGGCAAGGGACACUCAGCAAAUAUUUUUUUUUUAAAAAAAAAGAAAGAAAAUCUUUGUCGAGUGCCUGAGGCCAGAGGCACUUGGCAAAGCAAUUUUUUUUAAAAAAACUUUGCCGAGUGUUAAGGGGCCAGGGGCACACGGUAAAAUAUUUUUUAAAAAACAAAAACUUUGUCGAGUGUCGUGUCGGGCAACUCGGCAAAAUAACUGUUAACGGCAGAUGCUGUGACGGCCAAAAAUGUUGCCGAGUGCUGUCGUAAGCACUCAGUAAAAUGUUUUUAAUAUUUUGCUAAGUGCCUCGGUAAAAAGCACUCAGCAAAGUCUCUUUGUCGAAAAUUUUUUUGCCGAGCGAACUUUGCUGAGUGCUACGUUCGGCAAAGCCUUUGCCGAGUGCAAAGGGCUCUUUGUCGAAUGUAAAAACACUCGGCAAAGUCCUAAUUUCCAGUGGUGGGUGUGCUGGGACAAUUUAGAAAGCAAGCAACGAUUUCAUUUUGCGUUAGAUCACUCCCAUCCUCGAAGCCUCAGUUUUUUUUUUCAGAAAUAAGUUCCAGCUGUUGCUGCUGAGAACUAAAAGAAGCUUUUCACCCUUGAUUGAUCAAUGGAUUGGCUCUCUAGUUUAACAGGCUUCUUUGUUGUACUCUUUUUGCUCUUUUUUCCUUAGUUUUUUUGUUCCUUAGUUAAGACUCCACCCUACUGCCUCCUUAACUGUUGUGCUUUUUUUUUUGUAAAAGACCUUUUUUAUUAUAAUUUUUGCAUUGUUGUAGGGGUGCAAACCCCUCCAAUCUCCUUCAAAAAAUUCAAAAGUAAUAUAACCUUGCAGAACAAAGGACGGUAAUCCCACCAUUUUGCUAUGUGAGCCCACUCCUCUUAUUUUUUUUACUUUUAUUUUGAUUAUGCCCACUCCUGUUAAGCAGUCAUUUGUUCCAUUCCCUAAAUAUAUUUCUAUUUUUUAGAAUAUUCAAUAAGGCGUAUAUACAUUAUAUUUUAAGAAAUAAACUAUAUUCAAGACAAAUCUACCCACAUCAAUAUUACUUGUAUACAUUCAAAUAAACAUGUAGACAUAAUAAUUCGAUAGUUAAGGUUUCAAAAUGAUUGAAAUAAGACAACUUGAAAUAUGUCACAAUAAAAAAUUAUUUGUGGUCAAAGUUUCUGAAAUUAUUGACUUACGACAACGUACAUCCAAGUGUCACUUAAUUGCUUUGUGAGCAGAGGGAGUAUAUAUUUUGGCAAGUUACCCUCCAUCUAAAAAUAUAAAACACAUGUUUUUAGGACAGUAAGAUUUGACCAAUAGGUGCUUGUGCCAUUAAUAUGCAUAAAUCAUAGAUACUUUUGAAUACAAAUAUCUAGUUACAUCAAUUUGCUACCACAAAAUUGCAAGUAUCUUGGUUAAAGCCAUGUCUAACAAAACAUGAGCUUUGGGAUGGAUAUAUAUCAUAUUGGUGUGUACGUUUAGUAGUCUCUCUUCGUUUCAAUUUAUUAGAUGUUGUUUUGGCUUUUGUAGAUACAAAAAUUUUUUUAUGUAUCUAGAUAACGUUUAUUAUGAUAUAGAUAUAUCGUAUAUCUAUAUGCCUAAAAAACUGAAUAUCUAGAAAAACUAAAAUAACCUAUAAUUUAGGAUAGAGGGUGGUAAUAAUUAUACAUCUUCUGCUACCAAGUCCCUUAAUUACAGCACACAGCUCUGUUUUCUAGUUGCCUUGAUCGUUCAUCAGAUGAAUUAUGUAUUUGAAGAGUAGCGCGUGUGUGGUCAUGUCAUGAAAACGUGCUAGCUAGGUACUUGUUUUAAUUUCCACCGUGUGAGUAUUUUUUUUUUUCAAGUGGCGAGAGUUCAUUAAUUAAAUAAAACCAUUCAAUUUUUCAAAUCACAAUACGUUGUCUGCAAAUCCUCUGAGUCAGCCAGUUUUUCGUUACGUGCUAUACUCCGUCCAUUCUAAAUUAUGUUUUUUAAACUUUUUGGUAUAUUCAUUUUGCUACAUACUAAAAAAAUUAAAAAUAACUUAUAAUUUAGAACAGAAGAGGUAUAUAUAUAGUUGCAUAUAUGCUGACAAGUGUUUGGGGGAGAAUAGAGCAGUAACUCUCUUGACCAAGCGUUUGGGAGUCAUGGAACACAGUCACAUGGCGCAUGCAUGCGUAACAACAAUUUGGAAACAAAGAGAUGUGUGUGUGCAUGUAGCAGUGAUCGAACUAGUACAAACCACAGGAGCGAGAGGAAACGUACACGGACAUAAAUAAUAAACACCGCACAUAGUGCAUGCACUCAAAAAUAAACCCAACAAGCAAAAGUACAUCUCUCACACACACAUGUACACACGCACGUACGUACAUACGCUAAGAUGCAAGCGUAUCACAGCGUACACGACGACACGUACGUACAUACGGAGAGAUUUUUAUUCAGUAGUACGACGUAGCAGUAGUAGACAACUCAUCAUCUCAUCAUAUCAGGCGUAGAUAGAUACUCAUCCAUGGUCGAUGCUCCGGCGCCGAUCGACGACGACGGCGGCGGCGGCGGAAUGGAUCAUCGAUCGAUCGAUCAUCGUUUAGGUUUAGUUCACCCUGCAUGAUCAUGCAUGCAUGGAAGACGAAGCACAAGUUAAUUAAACGACUUGAUAUUCAAGUUGAAUCAGACCAUGCAUGCAUGCAAAGUUGCAAACAACUUGUAGUGAUUGGAUCAUUCAUUCAGAUCAUCACUUAAUUACCUGGAGCAGUCGGUGGAGGUGCUGAUGGUGUAGGGGACGCUGACGCCGCACUUGGAGGGGAUGCUGGCGGCGUUGCCGGCGUUGAGGCCGCUGAUGCCACGGGCGGCGUUCUUGAGGCAGUUGCAGGCGGCGCGCCUGUCGGCGGUGGUGCGGGCGGCGGAGUUGAGGCUCCUGACGCCGCUGCAGCAGCCUGCUGAGGGUGCGGAGCCCUGGCCCCGGGC